CUUGAAAUCCGUUCAAGUUCUGAGGACCACAGCUAAAUACCGGACCCUGGAAUGCAGUAAUAUAAUUGGGAUAGUCUCCUCCUUCCCACAUCAUCUGCUGGCCUUUCCUGUUAUUUUUUAUUUCUCUCCUGACAGUUCCAGUCUGGGAAGAGUCGGCCGACAGUCGACAGCUAAUGAAGUGGAUGAAAAGUCAACAGGAGAAAAGAAAAACUGGGAGCAAAACAAUAAAUUGAAGAUGCUUGCUUGUUGUGUCACAGGACUGGCCAGGAAACCAGAGGUUGGAGCAAUGUGAUUUAGGAGCACAGUGGAGAAAGACCAAGAAUCAUAAUAUAAGAAGAAUCCACUAUACACACCAAGCUUCCAAGGGAUGGAAUGGAGAUGGAAAAUUAGAUAUGCAUGUCUAAGGAAGUCUUGGCUAUUUUCCCUCUAUCUUCUAUAAUAAUAUUCAUCAUGAUUAUUACAGCUCUGCCAAGAAUAUGGAAUAUAUUGAUGUUCCAAAAAAUUGUAAAUAUUUAUACACCAACGUUCCUAUCCUGCUGGGUGGCAGGACAGGCCAUCCAAACCAUACCUACAGAGAGUAAUGUAGGAUAUUUCUCUGAAACAAACUGUAGUGCUCUUAUUAGAAGGGGGAGUGAAUACUGGACAUUAUGAAAAAAAAAUCACUAAAGAUGUCUGGUAUCAAAAGAUGACUAGUGUAAAAUUUUCUCGAAUUCUAGAGCUUGUAUCGUAUCUUCCCAUCAAUUCUCAGAAGAAAAGGUUAUUUAAUCUUUGUAGAUCAUGAAGCACCUACCCAAGUUCCUUAAUUGAAAUUUGAAUCUUUGCAUAUGUCUCAUCUUUAUUACAUUUUCUUUUCCAUUUUUGCUUUUAGUAUUCUGGGUCACUUGGCAUAACUCUCGCAUUUCAUUCACUGCACUGUGUAAAUCUCUUAUCUUUUCCCACAUUGCUCUCCACUGGGAAUGUCUUUCUUUUUUUGCCCACCUGGCAGAUUCCUGGCAAUGCCUCAGUCAGGUGCUUCCCUCUCUAUCUGCUUUCUCAGACCCUGCAAGGCUCUUACAUGCUCCCUGCCUCUGGGCCUCCCUUAGCACUCACCACCAAAAGCCUCAUCUCUAUCAUACAUGCCACCAAGAUAUUCAGGGAUUUCUAGCCCAAGUUAGUAUUUCUGGAUCACAGUGAAAGGAUCAAUUUUCUUAGCUAUUUCAAAAUUGGUUCUCUAAUACAUAGUGUGUACCAAUUUAUCUAUGAGAAUGAGAAGCCAUUAUCUUUAUAUCCUAUCCAACACUUGGUAUUUUUAGGUUUUAAGACUUUUACUACUCCGAUGAAUAGAAUAUUAAUUGUGGGUGCUUCUCUGAUUCCUAGUGGUUAUUCUAGGUUUUUCUCACAACCUUAUUUGUAUCCUUGUUGAUUUAUUUUUUUAUUUUUCUCAUAAUUUCUGUUUUUUGAGGCCACUGGUGUGGGCUUCUGGGCUAUCCACCGCAUACCCUCUAGGGGACAUCAUUCAUAUAGACCACCUGGGGAACGUCAUUCUGGGG